UACGUAGGGUCCAAGCGUUGUCCGGAUUUAUUGGGCGUAAAGAGCUCGUAGGCGGCUCAGUAAGUCGGAUGUGAAAACUCGGGGCUCAACCCCGAGACGCCAUCCGAUACUGCUGUGGCUUGAGGCUGGGAGGGGCUGGUGGAAUUCCCUGUGUAGCGGUGAAAUGCGUAGAGAUGGGGGAGAACACUCGUGGCGAAGGCGGCCAGCUAGACCAGUUCUGACACUGAGGCGCGACAGCGUGGGGAGCAAACAGG
rnacentral:rRNA from 1 species